ensembl:snoRNA SNORA62 Small nucleolar RNA SNORA62/SNORA6 family
CAUGCACACGGUUAAAGCCUGGCACUGAUGUUGGUGUUUGGGUGUCGGAAGUGUGCUAAAUAAACAUGGCUAGGUAUUCGCUAACACCAGUAGGGCUGAAGUGCCUCAUGACUGGAGUUUGAUAGCAACCUUUGCUACAUUU